GACAGAGCCCACUCCGAGGAAGAAGAGGACCUGGGCAUAGGGGCUGUCAGCAAGCCACCACGACUUCUUGUCUCGCUAAUCUACAAGGGUUUUAACCAUGUACUGCAGAGAUACUAUGUAGAGCUAUUUCAUGACCUGCUACGUGACAAGGGGCCCACGAUGAAGACACUGUUUUCUGAGCUGUUUCAGUGCUAAUUCCAUGCAGAUGUGCAAGAGAUAAGGCAAAGAUGCUUGUGUUUGAAUUUCUGCUAAAAGGUGGCUUCCAUCAGCUUGUCGUUCGUGGAGCAUUGUCUUAUGGGACUGUGGAAAAAGAGAGGCAAACAGCUUGCUCGGAAGCACCCAGGGGAGCUCUGCACUCCCAUCAGACCCACAGCUGCCUAGCAGGCUCCUCUGAAGUUCAUUCCUGA
rnacentral:lncRNA from 1 species